rnacentral:rRNA from 1 species
AUUGAACGCUGGCGGCAUGCCUUACACAUGCAAGUCGAACGGUAACGCGGGGCAACCUGGCGACGAGUGGCGAACGGGUGAGUAAUAUAUCGGAACGUGCCCAGUAGUGGGGGAUAGCCCGGCGAAAGCCGGAUUAAUACCGCAUACGACCUACGGGUGAAAGCGGGGGAUCGCAAGACCUCGCGCUAUUGGAGCGGCCGAUAUCAGAUUAGGUAGUUGGUGGGGUAAAGGCCUACCAAGCCUACGAUCUGUAGCUGGUCUGAGAGGACGACCAGCCACACUGGGACUGAGACACGGCCCAGACUCCUACGGGAGGCAGCAGUGGGGAAUUUUGGGACAAUGGGCGCAAGCCUGAUCCAGCCAUGCCGCGUGCGGGAAGAAGGGCCUUCGGGUUGUAACCGCUUUGUCAGGAGAAACGACUCUGGGCUAAUACCCUGGGGUAAUGACGGUACCUGAAGAAUAAGCACCGGCUAACUACGUGCCAGCAGCCGCGGUAAU